rnacentral:rRNA from 1 species
GAUGAACGCUAGCGACAGGCUUAACACAUGCAAGUCGAGGGGCAGCGAGGUGGUAGCAAUACCGCUGUCGGCGACCGGCGCACUGGUGAGUAACACGUAUGCGACCUGCCCCCUACAGGGGUAUAACCCGUAGAAAUGCGGACUAAUCCCCCAUAGUCCUGGAGGCUGCAUGGCCUUCAGGGGAAAGGGACCGAGCCGGUAGGGGAGUGGGCGAUGCGGCGCAUUAGCUAGUUGGCGGGGCGAACGGCCCGACCAAGGCGACGAUGCGUAGGGGUUCGUGAGAGGAAGGUCCCCCACCACUGGUACUGAGACACAGACCAGACUCCUACGGGAGGCAGCAGUGAGG